UUGUUUCUACACCUAUUCAAAAAUUUUAUGGCGGGUUGUAUAUCACCCUUCGCUUCACGCGCAAGCGGCAGGUGCAUUCGACAAUCUGUCUGUGCGGCUCAUUUUAAGCAUUUUAGGUUUUUUAUUUAGUAACAUUGACUUAUGUAGUUUUACUAUUUUCUUAUAUUAGAAAUGGGCCAAAUGUCGCCAGGUGGUAGAUUACAUGGCUUGCUCACAUAACUGUUCAGGGGUGCUUGAAUAGUUUGAAGCCACGUCUGGGCUCAUAAGCAUUAGAUGCAUGAGCGGCGAUCGAUCAAUGUCGAGCAACAAUUGACCAAUCAAAUACCCAGAUAUUAAUUCAAAGGCAUAUUUUAAGAAGAAUUCUGUAAUAAAUAAAGGGUAUUUAUAAGUCCAUGGGUAUACAGCGGCCUAUUGCAGUAAACAUACACUUUUUUUGGGUUUAUUCUGCGACCAGUACCUACAACUACCAACAGGUUAAUUAACUUUGUUUAUACAAUUUUGACGACUGAAGAGAGCGAAAGUGCUGAAUAACAAAAGGGAGUCGGAGCAAUGGCUCCUCCUCUCCAAUCAACAGUAACAAUAACAACAAUCCUGAUUAUAGUCAUAAACAUACUUGAGUAAAUGUUAAUCAUGAGUUUAUUACUUUAACAACAUAUAACUUAAACUGUCAAACACCAAGCGGUCACCGGUGACCGCAACCUAUUGUUCUAUAAUUGUGUCUAUAAUGACGGUACUAGACGAGUUAAACAAUAUUAAGUCUGCUAUAUAUUGUGUAUACUGAUACACAUUUCUAAUAAGCUACAACAAAUGACUUUGAUCUUGCAAUUGUAUUAAACCUAAAACAGAAUAAUUAUCUGAAAAUAUAUACUUUUUCUGUU